GGGAAGUGAAGGAACUGCCCAUGUGGUAGGCAGAGAGAACACCAUGUCUCCAGAGCUGAGGCAGGAGGGAACAGGCCUCUGUAUUUGAGCAACAGCUGGAGACCAGGAAGUUGGAGUGGAGGGGGUGAUAUGGAGAAUAAGAGACCAAGGGAUUGUCCAAGGGUGGGGGCUACAUCACUUAGGGUGUGACAGUGGCCUGUCUUCUCUUUGUAAAGGAUGCCUCCCACUGCUGAGCAAGAAGAUGGGAAAUGGGAGAGCAGCUCUCAGAGCCCAGCAUGAUACCCAGACUAGAGGCUAUGGGAGCUCAGGCAGGGGCUGGGGGCAGGCUUUGGAGGGGUGGGGGAUGAUAUGGUUUGGCUCUGUGUGACCACCCAAAUCUCAUCUUUUAGCUCCCAUAAUUCCCAUGUGUUGUGGGAGGGACCUGGUGGGAGAUAACUGAAUCAUGGGGGCAUGUCUUUCCUGUGCUGUUCUCAUGAUGUGGAUAAGUUUCAUGAGAUCUUAUGGUUUUAAAAAGGGAGUUUCCCUGCACAAGCUCUCUCUCUCUUUGCCUGCUGCCAUCUAUGUAAGAUGUGACUUGCUCCUCCUUGCCUUCUGCAAUGAUUGUGAGUUCUCCCCGGUUUAAUGAAACUGUAAGUCCAUCAAACCUCUCUUUCUUUUGUAAAUUGGCCAGUCUCAGAUGUGUCUUUAUCAGCAGUGUGAAAACAGACUAAUACAGGCUGGGCGAGGUGGCUCAUGCCUGUAAUCCCAGCACUUUGGGAGGCCGAGGCACGCGGAUCACCUAAGGUCGGGAGUUAAAGACCAGCCUGACCAACAUGGAGAAACCCUGUCUAUACUAAAAGUACGAAAUUUAGCCAGGCGUGGUGGCACAUGCCUGUAAUUCCAGCUACUGGGGAGGCUGAGGCAGGAGAAUCGCUUGAACCCGGGAGGUGGAGGCUGCGGUGAACCGAGAUCGCGCCAUUGCACUCCAGCCUGGGCAACAAGAGCGAAACUCUGUCU